GGUGCGUGUGUAGUGCAUGUGAACAUUGUUGCGUCUCUUAAUUGCUCAGUAUCGCGCCUGUACACUCGCAAUUCUCCAAGAUGUUUGGUUUCGCAGUGAUAAUUAAAAAUUAAUAGUCCCGAUAAGUGCAUGUAAGUACAUCAAUCCGAAGGAUACAGGCAAUUUUGAUCCUCACAAGUGGUACCGGGUGUUCUGGAAGGAUAACACACACUGCGGCCACUAUCACGCUCAAGUGAUUAAGCUUUACGGCACCGAGGAUGAUGCAAGGAAUGCAACAGAAAAACGACCAUCCAUUCCGCAGACCCGAUUGCGACUCCUCCGAUAGCUGCAGUUCAAAUGAAGUGGACAAUGAGUCGUUU
rnacentral:lncRNA from 1 species